rnacentral:rRNA from 1 species
ACGGGAGGCAGCAGUGGGGAAUAUUGGGCAAUGGGCGCAAGCCUGACCCAGCAACGCCGCGUGAAGGAUGAAGGUCCUCGGAUUGUAAACUUCUUUGAUCAGGGACGAAUUUUGACGGUACCUGAAGAACAAGUCACGGCUAACUACGUGCCAGCAGCCGCGGUAAUACGUAGGUGACAAGCGUUAUCCGGAUUUACUGGGUGUAAAGGGAGCGUAGACGGCAAAGCAAGUCUGAAGUGAAAUCCCGGGGCUCAACCCUGGAACUGCUUUGGAAACUGUUUAGCUAGAGUGCAGGAGAGGUAAGUGGAAUUCCUAGUGUAGCGGUGAAAUGCGUAGAUAUUAGGAGGAACACCAGUGGCGAAGGCGGCUUACUGGACUGUAACUGACGUUGAGGCUCGAAAGCGUGGGGAGCAAACAGGAUUAGAUACCCUGGUA